CCCCUUGUGGCUCAGAGGGUAAAGAGUCUGCUUGCAAUGCAGGAGACCCAGGUUCGAUCCCUGGGUUGGGAA
rnacentral:tRNA from 1 species